rnacentral:rRNA from 1 species
AGCCUGAUGCAGCGACGCCGCGUGAGGGAUGACGGCCUUCGGGUUGUAAACCUCUUUCGCCAGGGACGAAGCGCAAGUGACGGUACCUGGAGAAGAAGGACCGGCCAACUACGUGCCAGCAGCCGCGGUAAUACGUAGGGUCCGAGCGUUGUCCGGAAUUACUGGGCGUAAAGAGCUCGUAGGUGGUUUGUCGCGUUGUUCGUGAAAACUCACAGCUUAACUGUGGGCGUGCGGGCGAUACGGGCAGACUUGAGUACUGCAGGGGAGACUGGAAUUCCUGGUGUAGCGGUGGAAUGCGCAGAUAUCAGGAGGAACACCGGUGGCGAAGGCGGGUCUCUGGGCAGUAACUGACGCUGAGGAGCGAAAGCGUGGGGAGCGAACAGGAUUAGAUACCCUGGUAGUCCACGCCGUAAACGGUGGGUACUAGGUGUGGGUUUCCUUCCUUGGGAUCCGUGCCGUAGCUAACGCAUUAAGUACCCCGCCUGGGGAGUACGGCCGCAAGGCUAAAACUCAAAGAAAUUGACGGGGGCCCGCACAAGCGGCGGAGCAUGUGGAUUAAUUCGAUGCAACGCGAAGAACCUUACCUGGGUUUGACAUGCACAGGACGCCGGCAGAGAUGUCGGUUCCCUUGUGGCCUGUGUGCAGGUGGUGCAUGGCUGUCGUCAGCUCGUGUCGUGAGAUGUUGGGUUAAGUCCCGCAACGAGCGCAACCCUUGUCUCAUGUUGCCAGCACGUUAUGGUGGGGACUCGUGAGAGACUGCCGGGGUCAACUCGGAGGAAGGUGGGGAUGACGUCAAGUCAUCAUGCCCCUUAUGUCCAGGGCUUCACACAUGCUACAAUGGCCGGUACAAAGGGCUGCGAUGCCGUGAGGUGGAGCGAAUCCUUUCAAAGCCGGUCUCAGUUCGGAUCGGGGUCUGCAACUCGACCCCGUGAAGUCGGAGUCGCUAGUAAUCGCAGAUCAGCAACGCUGCGGUGAAUACGUUCCCGGGCCUUGUACACACCGCCCGUCACGUCAUGAAAGUCGGUAACACCCGAAGCCGGUGGCCUAACCCCUUGUGGG